AUCCUUUUAGCUGACGUGACUUUGUUAGGCGAUCAACUAUUCACAUGUAGGAUUUCAGUAGGAGAAAAAGAUCAAUAUGAUGAUACCUUGGUGGCUCUCAAAACCUUCACAGUUCGUACAACCAAUGAUUAUGUUAGAACAGGAGACCCAGCAGUAUUGAAGUGCACUGUGAUCUUUCCUACCGACACAUUGACAGUUGCUUGGUCACACCAAAAUACUAUAUUUGAAGAGACAAGAAAAGAAACCUUACAAAAUAGUACAACAACAACAAUUUUACGAUUAGACCCUCCCAACGAAGUUGCUUCUUACACUUGCAUAGUCUUCGCCCAUGGUCAAGAGUAUAACUUUUACUCGGAAGUUGAAAUAGAAACCGAUGGUUUAGCGCUGACACCAGAACAAGAGAUAAGAGCUUUCAACGGAGCAACAGUCAACCUGAAAUCUUUUUAUUUCUUCUCCUCGUUUGCUG